AUACGGAGGGUGCAAGCGUUAAUCGGAAUUACUGGGCGUAAAGCGUACGUAGGCGGUUAUUUAAGUCAGAUGUGAAAGCCCCGGGCUUAACUUGGGAACUGCAUUUGAAACUGGGUAACUAGAGUUUAGUAGAGGGGAGUGGAAUUUCAGGUGUAGCGGUGAAAUGCGUAGAGAUCUGAAGGAACACCAGUGGCGACGGCGACUCCCUGGACUAAAACUGACGCUGAGGUACGAAAGCGUGGGUAGCAAACAGGAUUAGAUACCCUAGUAGUCC
rnacentral:rRNA from 1 species